rnacentral:lncRNA from 1 species
CGGCAUCUCAAUUGUUUAUUCAUUCUCUGUUCAAAACCAAAAUUUCCAAAUCCAAACAUGCAUAUACAUAUCAUUAAAUCUAGUAUUUGUAAUUCAUAAGAAAUCGAAAAGGAAUACAUAUUCAUUGAUUUUACAGGAAACAAACUUAGAUUUAGAAACCUAAAUUGAUAAAGGGAGUUGGGAUGAAAUGGGGUGAGGAGCUACUCGCCGGAGCUACGACCGCCGCCACAUAUGAGAGGCGGCGGCGGAGAGAAGCGCAGGCGGCGGAGAGAAGCGCAGGCGGCGGCGCGGUGGUCUCUGCCACUGCUGCGCUGAUCCGGUCGGGGAGAGGGAGGAGGUGAUUGGGCGGCUGCCGCUGUCGCGAGGACGGUGAUGGCGGCGCUGCUGCCGGGCAGGAGAAGAUGGAUGGAAGGCGGCGCCGGAUGUGGUGAAGGGAGGAAGGCGAUGAGGAAGGGUGAAUUUCGGAGAGAGAGAGAGACAAUAAAGAGAUGAGGGCGGUGGUGGUGGUGACCGCCGGUGAAGCGGCGGCGGUGAAUAGUUGGCGGCGUAAGCAAUAGGAGAAGGGGAGGAGAGAGGGGUUCUAUGAAUUGAGUUUAAGAAGUGAGAGAUUUUGGGGGCUCUGCGUGACUGCGUGUUUUACAAAGAUGGAGAGAGAAACGAGUGUCAAGAGUUGAGGGAGAGAAUUAGUUUGGCAGAUUUUAAUUGAUUUAGAACUUGGGGCUUAAGGAUAAAUGGGCUAAUUGAGAAUGGGCUUUUAAUUUAAGUAAGGG